AGGGCUGUAGCUCAGUGGUAGAGCCCCUGCUUUGUAUGCAGAAGGUCCCAAGUUCAAUCCUAGCAUCCCCA